rnacentral:rRNA from 1 species
CUCGACGCUCCGUUCGGGGAGUGCACGGGAGGGCAACAGGCACCUGAAGAAACAAAAACGACUCUCGGCAACGGAUAUCUCGGCUCUCGCAUCGAUGAAGAACGUAGCGAACUGCGAUACUUGGUGUGAAUUGCAGAAUCCCGUGAACCAUCGAGUCUUUGAACG